GGACUGUGAUGAGGAUUGAGUAUGUCAUGCACCACUCUGAUUUCAUUCAGUGCUGAUAAUCGACAAACCCACUUAUCUGAGUCC
rnacentral:snoRNA from 1 species